GCGUGAGUGAUGAAGGCCUUAGGGUUGUAAAGCUCUUUUGCUAGGGAAGAUAAUGACGGUACCUAGAGAAUAAGCACCGGCUAACUUCGUGCCAGCAGCCGCGGUAAUACGAAGGGUGCUAGCGUUGUUCGGAAUUACUGGGCGUAAAGCGCGCGUAGGCGGCGAUUCAAGUCAGAGGUGAAAUCCCCAGGCUCAACCUGGGAAUUGCCUUUGAAACUAGAUCGCUAGAAUCUUGGAGGGGAUAGCGGAAUUCCGAAUGUAGCGGUGAAAUGCGU
rnacentral:rRNA from 1 species